UCUCUAUCCCCCCUCCCUCUCUGCCCCUCCAUAUUUUUAGGAUGAAAGAAAAGAAAGAAGGAAGGGAGAGGAAAGCACCAUUGAUUAUAGUAUAGUGAGGACCCAUUGGGAAUCUAAUAAAGAUACUUUCCUGUUUCCUGGCCUAUGGUGUCUUGAACAUAGGGCUUAGACCUCCAGACAUGGUGACCUUCUGUGGUUGAGAAGCCUGCAAAGGGAAAAGGAUUUGAAGAUGAUAAAAGGAGCACCCAUCCUUUGCUGUCAGGAGUCACUAGGCUGUUUUUUCCCUUGGAGACUUGGAUACAUCUAUGAUCUCAACAACGUGGGUUACCCCUCCACUAACAAAGAUGGCUGGUGUGACCUCUGUCUUCUCAUCUUCAGGCAGGCAGGUGCAACUGGAUGACAUCUGAGGUCUCAAAGCAUCAUUUGCUUAUUAAGUUUUCUUAUGUAUGAAGACCUCUCAGAGUUCCUCAGAGAUGUGGUCCUUUGACUCUACAUCUUUCUACAUGGUGAUGUUUUUAUGUGCUUGUUUCUCUGACUCAUUAAACUCACCAGCAAGUAAAUUCUCCAGGUACUAGCAGCAC
rnacentral:lncRNA from 1 species